ACUAGAUCCUGUUCAGACAUGUUGUAACAGGUGUAUGGCAUCAUAAUUCAGCUAACCUCAGAGACUCUGUUAGCUAUGUAGAAGAUCAAAUUCUCCCCAAGCAGCAGAUCAUACUAAGGGAGGUGGCAGAGCACCUAGGUUUUGAAAUGGAAUGGAACAGCGUUGGAAUUCCAACUCUAUCACUCAUGAGCUGUGUGAUCUUGGCCCUAAACUAAUUAAAGAAUAGUACUACGUGUCUCAGAGGGUGAAAGAAGAUGGAGGAAAGCCUCUGAGACCCAGGAAAGUAGUAGAGCUGCUAGAUCUGAAAUGCAGACUAAAACAGCAGGAAAAAUGGAACAACGUGUGGACACUCUGGACCGCUGACCAAAUGCUGGAGAGGCUUCCUCUGCUCUCCGGUGUCCUCUUGGAUGAAGUUGGGUGAGGAUGUCUCCAAAACAAUCAAAAUUUUGUGUCUCUCCACCCUGGCAAAAUGAGAGCAUCAAACCCAG